UCAUACGCUCAUAGACAAUAUUCAAUAGAUUACAUUCUCUCGACGAGUUUUAAUGUUGCUUGUGGACAAAAUAUCGGACUUCUUGGUUUUAAACCAUCAGACUGACUUUUCAGUAGGGUAAGUAUUUUUUAAUACAAGAUACAAGGUUUAUAUUGACGAAUGAUGACAGAACUGAGCGUUUAGUUUACCGUGCGUUUAGUUUACAAUGCGUAAAAUGUAACUUACUUAGAUGGUAGGAAGUGUAUUUUAUACUACUUUCAGUAGUGGUUGUCUGAUGGUUUAAAAGCAAGAAGUCCGAUAUUUUGUCCGCAAACAACAUUAAAACUUUACGUGAAAAUGUACCUUAUUGAAUAUUUGUGUAUGAACGUAUGACUUUUUAUUGGGGACUCGGGCUGCUGUCGACUUUUUAAUCGUUGUCUAAACUGAUAUAUGUAAAAAUACACAAUUUUCUAUUUCAGUUUUAGUAAGUUAUUUCGGUCGUAGGUAAAGGAUGGUUUGCUCAGAUUCUAUUGGAAUAAAUUAAUCGAACACUCUUAUGAUGCACCUUUGGAAUUUGCGACAAGAAAUGUGGCUCUUAUUUUAGCAGUCCAAGUCAAUAUCACUUAAACCGUUCGUUUUCUGACAACCGCAGUGGAACUGUUGACGUUAUUUGGUCCAAUUUUCAUGAGAAUCGGCUAAUGAUCUGACGACAUUUCCCGAAGUACUUCGGGCCUGGACAGUCUUCCUGCGUUUUGUACAGGAAUAUGUCCAGGAUGUCAUCUCUUGGGGCGCAGCUAUUUCAAGCAUUGAAUCUCGCUUCCGCAUGUAAUUGUCUCCAAUUACCAGGUUAUAAGCUCUUUAGCAACUCAGGAUGAAAACCUACGGAAUCCUUUACCAAAAUAAAAAACACUCCAUGAAAUGAAGACACCAAAAAGCAAAAAUCCAAUAUGUGGAUGAACAAGACAAUUUACUAUGCGGAAACCAAUUCCCAGAAGAAAUAACACCAAAUAGUUCUGGAAACCUUCAAAAGGACGCUCUCACGAAAACCCUAGAACAACUUGCCGAGAAUUGAAAACAGUAUAAAGGUCAGCCAAAUAUAGAAAAAGUAGCAGAAAAGUUUAUGCUAGAAAAAUUCAGUGGGAAAACGCAACUGCAAAAAUGUGAAUAAAAGCUUUUGAAAAAGAAUGUGGUAGAUUCGACAACACGCAAAAUGACCACUGUAUUAUUUAUGUUCUCAAUUAGGUAAACAUGAAUUUAUUAAUUAAUUAGAGCGCCAGAUUAUUCUAGAUAUAUCUUUAUACUGCCAUCUUGUUUCAACAACGCCCAAUGCAACUGUAUUGGUAAUUGUCUACCUUCACAUCCUUCUUUCUAAAAAUCCAACCUCUGAGGUGGCUUGACAAUUCAACCCGAAGACUUAACUUUUUCAGCCAUUAUAAAAGCUUCCUCAGAGCCUAUGUCACUUACAUUUUCAUAUAAAACGUUCAUCAACAUCACUUUCCUUAUCUAAUUUCAAAUAAUAUUUAACGUUUAUUUCCUCAUCCCUUUCCUUUUGAAAUA